GAUGAACGCUGGCGGCGUGCCUAAUACAUGCAAGUCGAGCGAACAGACGAGUAGCUUGCUCCUCUGACGUUAGCGGCGGACGGGUGAGUAACACGUGGAUAACCUACCUAUAAGACUGGGAUAACUUCUGGAAACCGGAGCUAAUACCGGAUAAUAUAUUGAACCGCAUGGUUCAAUAGUGAAAGACGGUUUUGCUGUCACUUAUAGAUGUAUCCGCGCCGCAUUAGCUAGUUGGUAAGGUAACGGCUUACCAAGGCGACGAUGCGUAGCCGACCUGAGAGGGUGAUAGGCCACACUGGAACUGAGACACGGUCCAGACUCCUACGGGAGGCAGCAGUAGGGAAUCUUCCGCAAUGGGAGAAAGCCAGACGGAGCAACGCCGCGUGAGUGAUGAAGGUCUUCGGAUCGUAAAACUCUGUUAUUAGGGAAGAACAAAUGUGUAAGUAACUAUGCACGUCUUGACGGUACCUAAUCAGAAAGCCACGGCUAACUACGUG
rnacentral:rRNA from 1 species